CUGGCGGCAAGCUUAACACAUGCAAGUCGAACGGAUUUUUGUCGUAGCUUGCUAUGAUAAAAAUUAGUGGCAGACGGGUGAGUAAUGCAUAGGAAUCUACCUAGUAGUAUGGGAUAGCCACUAGAAAUGGUGGGUAAUACUGUAUAAUCCCUGCGGGGGAAAGAUUUAUCGCUAUUAGAUGAGCCUAUGUUAGAUUAGCUAGUUGGUAGGGUAAAGGCCUACCAAGGCGGUGAUCUAUAGCUGGUCUGAGAGGAUGAUCAGCCACACUGGAACUGAGAUACGGUCCAGACUCCUACGGGAGGCAGCAGUGGGGAAUAUUGGACAAUGGGCGCAAGCCUGAUCCAGCUAUGCCGCGUGAGUGAGGAAGGCCUUAGGGUUGUAAAACUCUUUCAGUGGGGAAGAUAAUGACGGUACCCACAGAAGAAGUCCCGGCAAACUCCGUGCCAGCA
rnacentral:rRNA from 1 species